CCUACGGGCGACAGCAGUGGGGAAUAUUGCACAAUGGGCGAAAGCCUGAUGCAGCAACGCCGCGUGAAGGAAGAAGGCCUUCGGGUUGUAAACUGCUAUUAUAAGGGAAGAAAAGAAUGACGGUACCUGAAUAAGAAGCGCCGGCUAACUAUGUGCCAGCAGCCGCGGUAAGACGGAGGGGGCAAGCGUUAUGCGGAAUUACUGGGUGUAAAGGGAGAGUAGGCGGGAAAUUAAGGGAUAGGUGAAAGCCUUGGGCCAAACCCAAGGAAUGUAAUUUAAACUGGUAAGCUAGAGAGUGGGAGAGGUAAGUGGAAUUGCUAGUGUAGGGGUGAAAUGCGUAGAUAUUAGGAGGAACACCAGUGGCGAAGGCGGCUUACUGGACCGGAACUGACGCUGAGGCACGAAAGCGUAGGGAGCAAACAGGAUUAGAUACCCGGGUAGUC
rnacentral:rRNA from 1 species